rnacentral:rRNA from 1 species
GACGUAGGGCGCGAGCGUUGUCCGGAUUUAUUGGGCGUAAAGAGCUCGUAGGCGGUCUGUCGCGUCGAUCGUGAAAACUUGGGGCUUAACCCUGAGCUUGCGGUCGAUACGGGCAUGACUGGAGUUCGGCAGGGGAGACUGGAAUUCCUGGUGUAGCGGUGAAAUGCGCAGAUAUCAGGAGGAACACCGAUGGCGAAGGCAGGUCUCUGGGCCACUACUGACGCUGAGAAGCGAAAGCAUGGGGAGCGAACAGG